rnacentral:rRNA from 1 species
GUCUACGGCCAUGCCACCCUGAACGAGUCCGAUCCUGUCUGAUCUUGGAAGCUAAUCAGGGUCGGGCCUGAUUAGUACUUGGAUGGGAGACCACCUAGGAAGACCAGGUGCUGUAGGCA